rnacentral:rRNA from 1 species
UACGAAGGGUGCAAGCGUUAAUCGGAAUUACUGGGCGUAAAGCGUGCGCAGGCGGUUUUGUAAGACAGGCGUGAAAUCCCCGGGCUCAACCUGGGAACUGCGCUUGUAACUGGCAAGCUAGAGUGUGGCAGAGGGGGGUGGAAUUCCACGUGUAGCAGUGAAAUGCGUAGAUAUGUGGAGGAACACCGAUGGCGAAGGCAGCCCCUGGGUUAACACUGACGCUCAGGCACGAAAGCGUGGGGAGCAAACAGGAUUAGAAACCCUUGUAGU